AAAUAUCCAAUUAAAGCCAAAUUACAAGUUAUUUUAUUUCCAGACGGGGCUGCAGAUUGUAUGCUGCUCACCAUCCCGGGGCUUCAGGAUGCUCUGUAGCAUGGCUGAGCCACGAGACUUGUGGAGUAGAAUUAUGAAAGGAGAAUCAUUCUAGAAGGAGAAAGAAGAGAUGGAAGUCAUAUAAAGCAUGCCCAAAAGUGUUA